rnacentral:rRNA from 1 species
UACAGAGGUCUCAAGCGUUGUUCGGAUUCAUUGGGCGUAAAGGGUGUGUAGGUGGCGCCGUAAGUCAGGUGUGAAAUCUCGGGGCUUAACUCCGAAACUGCAUUUGAUACUGCGGUGCUUUGAGGACUGGAGAGGAGACUGGAAUUUAUGGUGUAGCAGUGAAAUGCGUAGAUAUCAUAAGGAAGACCAGUGGCGAAGGCGGGUCUCUGGACAGUUCCUGACACUGAGACACGAAGGCCAGGGGAGCAAACGGG